UUUAAGGUGACACUCCAACUCUCUAUUGUUCACAAGUCACAUGAAACAAAAUUGCCAUUCAUCUCAAACAAUCAACAUCUUUACAUGCAAAUGUCAUCAAAAGGACUUUUCCAAAGCUUGUAAUGAGGUUGGGCUUAACAAGAAAAAUUAGUUUUUCUGGGAAACAAAAUCCUUGAGUUAAGAGAGCUUUCAUAAUAUUUAACAAUUAAUCACAACUCUCUUUCUCACCAAUCUCACUUAUUCCCAACUUCUUCCCUUUUCUUUUUCAUUGAGCUCCCCUUCACGCUUUUCUUCUUUUCUUUUCUUUUCUCAUGAAUUUUUCUUUUCACAAUAAUUGAGCUCAAUGCUUUUCACUUGCUUUUCAAUUUUCCCCAUACAACCCCAAACUUUAACCUUUUCAUCACAUACAGCUAAGCUCAUCCCAACUCAAGGUAAAGAAUUUAAAGACAAGGGUUCACAUCCUGUUUAAGG
rnacentral:lncRNA from 1 species